GGCGGUGCGCGGACCCGCUUCCGGUUGGGCGGUGCUUGCGCGCGUGAGCUGAGCCGGUGGGUGAGCGGCGGCAUCGGCAUCUUGUGCUGUGGGGGCUACGAGGAAAGAUCUAAUUAUCAUGGACCUGCGACAGUUUCUUAUGUGCCUGUCCCUGUGCACAGCCUUUGCCUUGAGCAAGCCCACAGAAAAGAAGGACCGUGUACAUCAUGAGCCUCAGCUCAGUGACAAGGUUCACAAUGAUGCUCAGAGUUUUGAUUAUGACCAUGAUGCCUUCUUGGGUGCUGAAGAAGCAAAGACCUUUGAUCAGCUGACACCAGAAGAGAGCAAGGAAAGGCUUGGAAAGAUUGUAAGUAAAAUAGAUGGCGACAAGGACGGGUUUGUCACUGUGGAUGAGCUCAAAGACUGGAUUAAAUUUGCACAAAAGCGCUGGAUUUACGAGGAUGUAGAGCGACAGUGGAAGGGGCAUGACCUCAAUGAGGACGGCCUCGUUUCCUGGGAGGAGUAUAAAAAUGCCACCUACGGCUACGUUUUAGAUGAUCCAGACCCUGAUGAUGGAUUUAACUAUAAACAAAUGAUGGUUAGAGAUGAGCGGAGGUUUAAAAUGGCAGACAAGGAUGGAGACCUCAUUGCCACAAAGGAGGAGUUCACAGCUUUCCUGCACCCUGAGGAGUAUGACUACAUGAAAGAUAUAGUAGUGCAGGAAACUAUGGAAGAUAUAGAUAAGAAUGCUGAUGGUUUCAUUGAUCUAGAAGAGUAUAUUGGUAAGUCUCUGCUUCUAGUGUUUUUCUUAGAAAAGCUGAGAAGCUUUGAAAGAUGUAUUUGCCGGCUAGGCGCAGUGGCUCAUGCCUGUAAACCCAACACUUUGGGAGGCCGAGGCGGGCAGAUCACCUGAGAUCAGGAGUUCAAGUCCAGCCUGGCCAACAUGGUGAAACCCUGUCUCUACUAAAAAUACAAAAAUAUUAGCUGGCUGGGUGUGGUGGCGGGUGCUGUAGUCCCAGCUACUGGGGAGGCUGAGGCAGGAGAAUGGCGUGAACCCGGGAGGCGGAGCUUGCAGUGAGCCAAGAUCAUGCCACUGCACUCCAGCCUGGGCUACAGAGCGAGACUCUGUCUCAAAAAAAAAAAUAAAUAAAUAAAGUUGCAGGGAGCCCAGACUGGCAUAGGGAAACCCAGGGAAAGGAGAUAGGGAAUAGAUUAAGAGAUGGAUAAAUAAAUGAUGGGGAGUUGCUGAUCCUUCUUGUAGCCGUUCCUUUUUACUGUGUUCUGUUCAUAUUUUCUCUCUGAUUCUCUGACUACUUUCCUUUUGUUUUUUAAGUUUCUCCCUUUUGACAUUCCCUUUUUAGUUGUCUGUCUAAAUUUUUUGUAAAAAAUUGUUUUGGAUGUCACACCUUCAAGGCCAAUUUCUCCCAAGUAAAGCUCUGUUUUAUUAUCAUCAGACUAAUUUUAAGAUAUUCUCAUUGCUUUAAAAAAAAAAAAAAAAAAGCUGUCUUUCUUACCAAGUAGUUGAGCAAAUUGUUUCCCAAUUACUGUGACAGAAAUUAAAAUGAGUAAAGGAGCUGGGUGUGGUGGCAUACCCAGUUACUUGGGAGGCUGAGGCAGGAGGAUCACUUGAGUCCAAGAGUUCUGGACUGUAGUCACAAGUUCAUCAUCAGUAUGGUGACCUCCUGGGAGCAGGGGAUCACCAGGUUGCCUAAGGAGGAGUGAACCGGCCCAGGACAGAAUCAGAGCAGGUCAAAACUGUGCUGAUUAGUAGUGAGGUUGUGCCUGUGGAUAGCAACUGUACUCCAGCCUGAGCAACAUAGCGAGACUCCAUCUCUUUAGAAAAGUGAGUAAAGAUGGAAAGUGUAAGACUGUUACUACAAAUGUCAUUGUUACAAAUACUUUGUUUAGAAAGAUAUUAGAUAUUUUAAUAUUUCACAUACUUAUUUUCAUUUGUAAUAACUUAUUCUAGCACACCAUUGGUUUUGUGUUUCAGAUAAGCCCGUUUGUUUUUAGACCUCUGAUAGUUACCUGAAAUGUUUAUUUUAAGCCUGAAAGGAAGACUUAAUCCUUACCUCUAUCACCUGUCAUUAAACUGUAUGGAGCAAGUCACUCCUUUACUUAGAUGUUGUCUUAUCAUACCUGUUAUUUACAUGCUAGAGUUAUUCCAAUUGAAUUACUCCUUGACUGUUUACCUCCCUUUUCUUAGGUUCAGUGACAUACUUUGAACUUUUUAAAGAAAGAUGAGCAAUGGAAGAUGGGCUGUUUUCCUAAACUGAUUUUUUUUUUUUUUUUUUUGGUGAAGUUCAUCAGGACAGUGGAUAAAUGCCUAGGUGCAUUUACUGAUCCCACAUUGAUGUUACUAGGGUUUUCUACUUUUAAAUGAUUUAUCUUUUUAUUCUUGGCUUUUGCCAUUUUAUUGCCAUUGCUAAAACUGAGGAACUCAUUUGAACCUCCCAAGGAGAGGAAUUUUUAUAACUUAACUACAUCACUUACCAAGCAUUGAGGCCAAAUAAGGAGAUAUUUCUGUCUCCCUGUGUAUCAUAUAGAUUCAAGGGCAGAGGAGUUAUAUUUUGAAGCUACCAAAACUAUCUUGUGCAUGUGUGCUUUUUUUUUUUUUUACAAGUCAGUAACUAAUGCAAACACUUUUACAUCUGGGAUGCUGGGCUUUGUAAAUCUAAAAUUCUCCCAAACAGUAUCUUUCAGCUUCUAGUGCCGUGUUGAAGGAGAGCAUGAAGAAACAAACUUCUUCGCCUCAUAAAUUUAGCAUUAAAAAGAAGCCCCCAUCAGUGCCUGAGGAGACAUAGGGAAAGAAAACAAAAAACACCCAAAGUUGUGCUGAUAAUUAUUUUUAUUUUUAAAAUUUAUUAUAGAGCAUUGCAGACGUAGACUAUUUAUUUAUUUAUUUACUUAUUUAUUUAUUUAUUUUUUGAGACAGUCUUGCUGUGUCACCCAGGCUGGAGUGCAGUGGUGUGAUCUCCACUCACUACAACCUCUGCCUCCCAGGUUCAGGAGAUUCUUGUGCCUCAGCCUCCUGAGUAGUUGGGAUUACAGGCAUGCAUCACCACACCUGGCUAAUUUUUGUAUUUUUAAUAGAGGCGGGGUUUCGCCAUGUUGGCCAGGGUGAUCUUGAACUCCUGGCCUCAAGUGAUCUGACUGUCUUAGCCUCCCAAAGUGCUGGGAUUACAAGUGUGUGAGCCACCGCACCUGCCCCCAAAUUAGAAUAGUAUAAUGAAUCCCCAUGUACCUAUGCCUAACCUCAACAACAAUGAACUUACAGCCAGUUUUUUCUCAGCCACAUCCACUUCCUUGCUUCCUUCUUACUUUGAAGUAAAUCCCAAUCAUUAUGUCAUUUCAUCUGUAAACAUUUAGGUAUAUAUGUCUAAAAUAUAUGUGUUUCUAAAAACAAUUUUUUAAAGAUAAUAUCAACCCAAGAAAAUUAAUAAUCCCUUCAAAUCAUCAAAUAGACUGAGUCUUUUAAAAAUAGAAAUUCGGCCGAGCGUGGUGGCUCAUGCCUGUAAUCCCAACACUUUGGGAGGCUGAGGUGGGCAGAUCACAAGGUCAGGAAUUAGAGACCAGCCUGACCAACCUGGUGAAACCCCGUCUCUACUAAAAAUAUAAAAAUUAGCCAGGUGUGGUGGCACGUGCCUGUGUAAUCCCAGCUACUCAGGAGGCUGAAGCAGGAGAAUCGCUUGAACCCGGGAGGCAGAGGUUGCAGUGAGCUGAGAUGGCGCCACUGCACUCCAGCUUGGGCGACAGAGCAAGACUGUCUCAAAAAAAUAAAUAAAAAUAGAAAUUCAAAUAGUUUAUCAUGGUCACCUAACUUUAAAAUGCACUUAUGUUAUAGUGUAUUGUGUAUUCUAGCUUCCUUUAAAACCAUAUCUUUUAAGCAUGUAUCUAUUUCCUAAUUCAGAACUUUCCAAUCUGUAUCCUGUAAGUCUUCUUGGCCUUCAGGACAGGUAGGGCAGGGACCUGAUCCAGUGGACCGUACAAAUACUACAUUUUCUGAAUGUGCUGUAGCGUGGGAAAAAAUUGGCAACUCCUGCUGUGAGGAACUUCUCUUGUGAGUUUAAGACAGAGGAGUACUUCUACCCUUAACCCUCAAGGUCAGGAAAAUGGCAGCACUGACUAAAUAAUUACCUUUGCUUAGAACUUGCAGGAACUAUUUAGACUUCUCUUUAGGUGUUUUCCCAUACCUUACAUGCAAUGCAGGUACACUUAACUUAGAUGUCGUAUAACUAAAGCGUUUUCAGACUUGUUCACUUACAUAACUCCUGAAAGAAUUUGACCAACAGCAUUCCCUUAUGUGUUUUAAAGUUGGCAUCUGAAAUAUUUAAUUAAGAAAUUUAAACAGUUGUAAAGAAUAGUCUCUUUUGGGCCAGAUGCCGUAACUCAUUCCUGUAAUCCCAGAACUUUGGGAGGCUGAGGCAGGUGAAUCACUUGAGCCCAGGAGUUUGAGACCAACCUGGACAACAUGGCACAACCCUGUCUCUACAAAAAAAAUACAAAAAAAAGAAAAAAUUAGCCGGGCAUGGUGGCGUGUGCCUGUAGUCCCAGCAACUCAGGAGGAUCACUUGAGCCUGAGGGUUUGAGGUUGCAAUGCACCGUUAUUGUACCACUGCACUCCAGCCUGGGCAAGAGAGCAAGACCCUGUCUGAAAAGAAAAAAGAAUAUUCUUUGUUGGUGAUAAGCAUUGACAUUUUGAAAGUAAUUCUGAAAGAAAUCUAUAAAAUUUAAAUACAAGAUACCACAGCAACUUCUUACCUGCCAUCAUUCAUAUGAAUAAUUUGGACAUGACAACUUUAAAAAGAUAAGAAAUUUAAAUUCAGUCUGGGUAUUAGAUGAUACUAAGGAAUUGAUUUUGUAAAAUUUGAAAGAGGCAUUGUGGGUAUAUAAGAAAAUAUCCGUAAUUUUUUACAUUUCAUAAUAGUUAAAAAGGAAAUGUUUCUGUGGUACUUUUUUUUUUUUUUUUAGUUACGGUGUUUGGUUAGCAACAAUGUGACCAUCACUUAAUUGCCCUUUUUUUGUUUAAAUUUAUAGGGAUUUGGGGAUAUUUAUACUACUUAUCGGUCACCACAUGGUAUUGUCUUAAAAAAAUAAAUGAAUAAACUGUUAACCAACUUGGACAUUUUACACUCUUCCUGUUUCUUCUUCUUCUUCUUUUUUUUUAAAAAGACAAGAGUCUCAUUCUGUUGCCCAUGUUGGUGUGGAGUGGCACAAUCACAGCAGCCUCAAUCUCCAAGGUGGGGAGAUCAGGUGAUCCUCUCACCUCAGCUGGGACCACAGAAGAACACCACCAUACCCAGCUGAUUUUUUUAAUUAUUAUUCUUAUAGACAUGGGUCUCCCUACAUUGCCCAGGCUGGUCUGGAAAUCCUGGGCUCAAGAGCUCUACCUGCCUUGGCCUCCCAAAGUGCUGGGAUUACAGACGUCAGCCACCCAGCCUCCUGUUUCUUUUUUUUUUCUUUUUCUUUUUGAGACAGGGUCUCACUCUGUCACCUAGGCUGGAGUAUAGUGGCGUGAUCAUGGUUCACUGCAGCCUCGAUCUGCUAGGCUCAAGCCAUCCUCCUGCCUCAGCCUCCCGAGUAGCUGGGACUUAGGUGCACGCUGCCAUGCCUGGCUAAUUUUUGUAUUUCUUGUAGGGAUUUUGCCAUGUUGCCCAGGCUGAUCUCAAACUCACGAGUCAGCCUUCUAUUUGUUAGAUUCAUUUGCAGUUUAGUUCCUCAACAGAAUUAUAUUCUGACAUAUUUUAUCUUGAAAGCCUUAGUCACUUUGACAUUCUUAUUUGCAAGAACAUUGUGUGUGUAAAUUGAAAUAUGGAAAAUGGUGCUCUGUGACACGGCUCUUAAGUGUUUUUAGAGUCUUCUGGGUUAAGUUACUAUUACAAUUAUUAAUACACAAUUGAACAAAAUAACAUUACAAACGUUUUAUGUUUAUAUAUUUUUAAAUGCAUUUCUUUGACACAUUUUUUUUCAAAUAGUUUCAUAUCCAUGGAUGACAAUUACUUAUCGCUAGAGUGAAAUGGGAUUCAGCACCAAUUCCUAAUUUUUAUUUUUUAGAGGAAGUACUAACAGACCUUGUUUACAUUAGUAAAUAAGUUGAUGGAAAUGGAAGAUUUGUCAUAGCAAUGUUGCUUAGUUCUUGGAACUCCUUUUGAGUUAGAUGCCAGAAAUCAUGUAAUCUGUCAUCAAAAAUUAUGGGUUUUGUUUGUUUCAAGGUGGAGUCUCACUGUCACCCAGGCUGUAGUACAGAGGCAUGGUCUCGGCUCACUGCAACCUCUGCCUCCAGGGUCCAAGCGAUUCUCCUGCCUCAGCCUCUCCAGUAGCUGGGGAUUACAGGUGUGGGCCAGCACGCCCGGCUAAUUUUAUUUUUUAUUUUUAGUAGAGACGGGAUUUCACCAUGUUGGCCAUGCUGGUCUCAAACUCCUGACCUCAAGUGAUCCACCCGCCUCAGCCUCCCAAAGUGCUGGGAUUACAGGCGUGAGCCACUGCACCCAGCCCAAAAAUUAUGUUUGAUGAUCCCUUAGCUAAAACUCAAUUAGGCCAUUUUUCAAGGUUUUUUUUUUUUUUAAAGCAAAGAAUUUAAAACCUUUUGACAUGCAAAAGAAUUUAUUCAUUUUUUUCAGACAUUUGCAUUCUCAAGACUGACACUAGUAUUUCUUUUUCUUUUUUUUUUUGAGACGGAGUCUUGCUCUGUCGCCCAGGCUAGAGUGCAGUGAUACGAUCUCGGCUCACUGCAACCUCCGCCUCCUGGAUUCAAGUGAUUCUCCUGCCUCAACCUCUCGAGUAGCUGGGAUUACAGGCAUGCACCACCAUGCUCAGCUAAUUUUUGUAUUUUUAGUAGAGAUGGGGUUUUGCCAUUUUGGCCAGGCUGGUCUCAAACUCCUGACCUCAGGUGAUCUGGUCUCGAACUCCAACCUCAGGUGAUCUGCCUGCCUAGGCCUCCCAAAGUGCUGGAAUUACAGGUGUGAGCCACCACGCCCCGCCAGACACUAGUAUUUCUAAUUGUUUCUUUUUCAUUAUCGUGGAGCUUUUUACACUCUAGUUUCAAAAUGGUUGAAAAUAUGCCUUUCUUUUAUAAAGUGAGACAAGGGCAGUUGUGAAAGGGGGGAGAUGGGAAAAAAGCCUUGAUGGCCAGAGGUACAUUCUUACGAAGAUCAAUUUUGGAAAAAACUAUAUGUGGAACUGAGUAUCUGGAAUUUGAUUCUCUCUUGACUGACCUUUCUCAGUGUACUCCUUGACAGUGUUCCUGUUUCCCCAGGGGCAUGCUUGUCCCAACUGAAGGCCACUGGUAUAAUGGACUCUUUGUAGUAAUUGACUACACCUUUCUAAAACAAGUGGUCCAGUUUAAUUAGCUACCUUAGGGUGAAAUGAAAUGUAGGGCAACAAGUCUAAAUCUUUCUUGAUGGUAGCUCUCUCCUCUUAUUUCUGCAUUUAUUAAGGUAUAAGGACUCUUUGCUCUCAUGUGACUUAAAAUCAGCAGCUGGAAAUAUUCUCGUUGCAAGAGAAGUAAUUAAGCCUCAGGAAAAUACCUUGCUUUCUAAGGUCUGUCUGGCCUAAAAUACCCUUGCAGCUGCUGUUGGGUUCCAAACAAAUGGAUGAGGAAAAAGGGUUAGGCCAGAUUAGCAUGAGGCAGUUUUUGGGAAAAGACAAACCCUUCUUUCGUAUGUAUGUCUGUG